UGAAAUCAAAAUGGGUUUUUUUUCUGCAUUUGUAUAGGUGUAAACAACGCGCGGCAUUGUGGGAAACGGGAAGGUACUAAAGACUUGAUAUGCUAAAAUCCUGAUUUGACCUGAUUAAAAAUUGUCAGUAAUAUUCCAAACAAAUGAAUUCUUGUAUAACAUAAUGCAUCAUAGUCAAAGGUCUUUAAAAUAAGACAUUUUAAGUACUCAAUAUUAUCAUUUAAUUUAAAAUAAAAACAUCGGGUAAUUUCAGGUCUUUAGUACAUCCGGGUUUCAGUGUGUCCCAUCGAAAUCGGCAAAUCGGACACAUGUUCAAGAUGUUGAUCAUGUUUACAAAGUGAAGUUGAGGAUUUUCUCACCAUACAAGCCGUAUGUAAACAUGCACGGACAUUUUAUCUGCAGCUCAAAGUACUUUAUCAAUCCUCUGGAGCAUUAUUCUAAGCAAAAUUAUCCGAUUUAUAUAUUCUUGUGUGAAUUGUUUACGAGGAAAUUCCGACUGUCACAGUAAUAAACAAGGAUGAACACUCUUGACUCUGUAUCGGAUUCCCCGGUGAUAAUUGUAUCGAAUGAUUAAAGAGCUGACGGUUACAUUUUAAUUUAUGAUAGGCGUGGACCAUGGGAAUGAAUUCGAAGUCAUUUUAUGAUGCCACCACUUGGGAUAGUAAGCUGCAAAUAUAGACUUGUACUCAGCACUUAUUGCCUUUGAGAAGUAAGGGAUCCUUUUCGUGUCAACACCCACACCUACUGUGACACAGAAUCUCGGUUUAUACAGUCUCUUUGGAGUAACCUGUCUCUAGCAUUUAGCAGUGUGACUUUCAUCUGAGUACUGAAAUUUGAUGCCAAGCAUGAUCAUGAUGUGCCAGAAGAGCCUCUUUUGGGAGAUGACAAAGAAUAAACAGCAGAAUGAAAUUGAAACAAUCAACUGAAUCAAGUCUCAGUUUAAGAAGAUGAUUUUAAAUAUAUCAUAUUUAAAUUUUGAUUUGAGAAACAGACAUAAAUCCAAAAAUAUGAUUAUAUCAAUUGCUUUCAGUUUUUCAAGAUAAAUAGAUUUUGUUGCAAAAUCUAAUAUGUUUAAUUUGGAAUAAAUGUUCUUUUAAAUAUU